GAUGAACGCUGGCGGAGGGAAGAAUACAUGCAAGUCGAGCGAACGGACGAGAAGCUUGCUUCUCUGAUGUUAGCGGCGGACGGGUGAGUAACACGUGGAUAACCUACCUAUAAGACUGGGAUAACUUCGGGAAACCGGAGCUAAUACCGGAUAAUAUUUUGAACCGCAUGGUUCAAAAGUGAAAGACGGUCUUGCUGUCACUUAUAGAUGGAUCCGCGCUGCAUUAGCUAGUUGGUAAGGUAACGGCUUACCAAGGCAACGAUGCAUAGCCGACCUGAGAGGGUGAUCGGCCACACUGGAACUGAGACACGGUCCAGACUCCUACGGGAGGCAGCAGUAGGGAAUCUUCCGCAAUGGGCGAAAGCCUGACGGAGCAACGCCGCGUGAGUGAUGAAGGUCUUCGGAUCGUAAAACUCUGUUAUUAGGGAAGAACAUAUGUGUAAGUAACUGUGCACAUCUUGACGGUACCUAAUCAGAAAGCCACGGCUAACUACGUG
rnacentral:rRNA from 1 species